GCACAGCUCAGUAAAGCCUGCAGAACGUGACGUCCGUUUUCCUUUGUUUGUUGUUUUGAUUUAGUGUUCUGAGUUAUAAUAAAUUAUUAAUCAUGAGCACUUACCACGCUGCACCUUGGUCGAUCCUUACGACAAUCGUCACAAUAUUUUUUAUUUUUUUUAAGCGUGUAGGCCCUUGGGUCUUUUUUGUAAUUAUCUGCUAAUUUUAGUUGAAGGCCAGUGGCCUUCAGAGGAUUUUCAGAAGAUUUAUUUCAUGAGAAUAUUUGAUAAUUUUGUAUUUCAUCUUUAUUUAACCAGGAGGUGCCAUUGAGGUUAGAAGACCUCUUUCUCAAGGGAGACCUUGCCAAGAAGGGCAGAUCAGUGAAAACACAUAGAACAUUCUAAUCAAAGUGCAUAGUCUGCAUAGCAAGUAGUUAUUGUUCUUAUGUGAUACCUGCUCUGAUGUGUCUUGUUCUAGAACCCAGAGAAGAACAUGGAAUGGGAGUUCUAUUUCAAAAACCUCUCUCGGUCUCUUACGUCUCUUUUGGUUCUUCUCACAACUGCUAACAACCCUGACGGAACAUACAUCCUGAUGAACCUGCUGACUGCCAUCAUAUACAACCAGUUUAGAGGAUACUUAGUGGACCUGAGCCCUAGGACCAUGCCUCAGGACUACCUGGCCUGAUGACUCCUUGCUGUCCCUUGUCCACCUGGCCGUGCUGCUGCUUCUGUAUCAACUGUUCUGCCUGCGGC